AAACGCAAAAGGUUAAUGAGAAUCAAAGGCACAUAACUCUGGAUUUCACAUUGAAAGAGAGCGAGCUGAUCAAUGGGUUGAAAAGAUAGAUAUUGCCAGAUGUUUACUGUCCAAGGAACAAGCUGUGGAAGCUUUAUUGCUAGCAAAAGUGUCCAUAACCAGAGGUUAUAUCAGCUGUUUUGGUGAACCCCUCCCACAUCUGAACUGACUGACAAAGAGGGCACAGCAUGAUCAUAGAUAUAUUUUGAUGUGAGAGAGGAAGCCAGUCCCGUCAUCGCCAGCUCACCCGCUCUUAAGAUAUCUUUCGGGCCAACUGGGGGCCCAAGGCUGGUCAGGACAAUUGUGAUGAACUGAGAG
ensembl:lncRNA